UAUCUGUUGUGGCGCCAGCUGCAUUGCAGAGUAGCUAUGUUCGGACUGGAUAAGCACUGAAAGCAUAUAAGUGCGAAGCCAACCUCAAGAUGAGAUUUCCCUUAAGGGUCGUUAAAGAUGAUGACGUUGAUAGGCUACAAGUGUAAAGGCGGUGACGUCAAAGCUGAGUAGUACUAAUUACCCGUGAGCUUUCUAACU
rnacentral:rRNA from 1 species